UACGGGGGAGCAAGCGUUGUUCGGAUUUACUGGGCGUAAAGGGCGCGUAGGCGGCGCAACAAGUCACUUGUGAAAUCUCCGGGCUUAACCCGGAGCGGUCAAGUGAUACUGUCGUGCUAGAGUGCGGAAGGGGCUACUGGAAUUCUCGGUGUAGCGGUGAAAUGCGUAGAUAUCGAGAGGAACACCUGGCGGCGAAGGCGGGUAGCUGGGCCGACACUGACGCUGAUGCGCGAAAGCCAGGGGAGCGAACGGG
rnacentral:rRNA from 1 species